GUUCAAUGAUGAUAUAAAGGCUAAUGUGACUCGACCAGCUGGGCUGCACCCUCAGCCCAUUCCUGUAAUACGGGUCUGUAAUCUUGGUGAACAAUGCUGAGCUGUGCAUGUUUGCUGUAAGGGCAGACCGACAGAAAAUCCUCUUGCCUGCAUCCCUGGAAAAUACAUCUUUGGGAUGCGUCAGCUCAGAGUGAUUGUUUCUGUGAUGAAGGGCUGUGGGGACAGGAUAAGCCAGUGUGCCCAAGGUUUGGGUUGCAGAGGGCAGCCCAUGUUACAGGUGGUGGGAGAUGAGCACACAUCUUUGGUAAUCUGAUGACU
rnacentral:snoRNA from 1 species